rnacentral:rRNA from 1 species
CCUUGAAAUACCACCCUUUAAUGUUUGAUGUUCUAACGUGGACCCGUAAUCCGGGUUGCGGACAGUGUCUGGUGGGUAGUUUGACUGGGGCGGUCUCCUCCUAAAGAGUAACGGAGGAGCACGAAGGUUGGCUAAUCCUGGUCGGACAUCAGGAGGUUAGUGCAAUGGCAUAAGCCAGCUUGACUGCGAGCGUGACGGCGCGAGCAGGUGCGAAAGCAGGUCAUAGUGAUCCGGUGGUUCUGAAUGGAAGGGCCAUCGCUCAACGGAUAAAAGGUACUCCGGGGAUAACAGGCUGAUACCGCCCAAGAGUUCAUAUCGACGGCGGUGUUUGGCACCUCGAUGUCGGCUCAUCACAUCCUGGGGCUGAAGUAGGUCCCAAGGGUAUGGCUGUUCGCCAUUUAAAGUGGUACGUGAGCUGGGUUUAGAACGUCGUGAGACAGUUCGGUCCCUAUCUGCCGUGGGCGCUGGAGAAUUGAGGGGGGCUGCUCCUAGUACGAGAGGACCGGAGUGGACGCAUCACUGGUGUUCGGGUUGUCAUGCCAAUGGCACUGCCCGGUAGCUAAAUGCGGAAGAGAUAAGUGCUGAAAGCAUCUAAGCACGAAACUUGCCCCGAGAUGAGUUCUCCCUGACUCCUUGAGAGUCCUGAAGGAACGUUGAAGACGACGACGUUGAUAGGCCGGGUGUGUAAGCGCAGCGAUGCGUUGAGCUAACCGGUACUAAUGAACCGUGAGGCUUAACCUUACAACGCCGAAG